GCCCGGGUGGUGAAAUUGGUAUACACGCUUGACUUAAGAUCAAGUGCCGCAAGGCUUGCGAGUUCGAGUCUCGCCCCGGGCA
rnacentral:tRNA from 1 species